rnacentral:rRNA from 1 species
GACGAACGCUGGCGGCGUGCUUAACACAUGCAAGUCGAACGGAAAGGCCCUUCGGGGUACUCGAGUGGCGAACGGGUGAGUAACACGUGGGUGAUCUUCCCUGCACUUUGGGAUAAGCCUGGGAAACUGGGUCUAAUACCGAAUAGGACCACGCGCUUCAUGGUGUGUGGUGGAAAGCUUUUGCGGUGUGGGAUGGGCCCGCGGCCUAUCAGCUUGUUGGUGGGGGAAUGGCCUACCAAGGCGACGCCGGGUAGCCGGCCUGAGAGGGUGACCGGCCACACUGGGACUGAGAUACGGCCCAGACUCCUACGGGAGGCAGCAGUGGGGAAUAUUGCACAAUGGGCGCAAGCCUGAUGCAGCGACGCCGCGUGAGGGAUGACGGCCUUCGGGUUGUAAACCUCUUUCAAUAGGGACGAAGCGCGAGUGACGGUACCUAUAGAAGAAGCACCGGCCAACUACGUG